rnacentral:rRNA from 1 species
UCUUGACCUCGGAUCAGGUAGGGAUACCCGCUGAACUUA